rnacentral:rRNA from 1 species
UGGGGAAUAUUGGGCAAUGGGCGAAAGCCUGACCCAGCGACGCCGCGUGGGUGAUGAAGGCCUUCGGGUUGUAAAACCCUUUCGUGCGGAAAGAAUAGUCCUGUAGCGAAUAACUACGGGAUUUGACGGUACCGCAGGAAGAAGCACCGGCUAACUCCGUGCCAGCAGCCGCGGUAAUACGGAGGGUGCAAGCGUUGUUCGGAAUUAUUGGGCGUAAAGGGCGCGUAGGUGGUUGUGAUAGUCAGAUGUGAAAUCCUUCGGCUCAACCGAAGAAGUGCAUCGGAGACGGCAUAGCGCGGGUACAGGAGAGGGGAGCGGAGUGGACGGUGUAGGGGUGAGGUGCGUAGAGAUGGGGAGGGACACCAGUGGGGGGGGCGGGGUCCUGGCCUGGUACUG